ACAUGAUACUGCGAGACUAGAGUAAUGGAGGGGGAACCGGAAUUCUCGGUGUAGCAGUGAAAUGCGUAGAUAUCGAGAGGAACACUCGUGGCGAAGGCGGGUUCCUGGACAUUAACUGACGCUGAGGCACGAAGGCCAGGGGAGCGAAAGGGAUUAGAUACCCCUGUAGUCCUGGCAGUAAACGGUGCACGCUUGGUGUGCGGGGAAUCGACCCCCUGCGUGCCGGAGCUAACGCGUUAAGCGUGCCGCCUGGGGAGUACGGUCGCAAGAUUAAAACUCAAAGAAAUUGACGGGGACCCGCACAAGCGGUGGAGUAUGUGGCUUAAUUCGAUGCAACGCGAAGAACCUUACCUGGGCUUGACAUGUAAUGAACAACAUGUGAAAGCAUGCGACUCUUCGGAGGCGUUACACAGGUGCUGCAUGGCCGUCGUCAGCUCGUGUCGUGAGAUGUUUGGUUAAGUCCAGCAACGAGCGCAACCCCUGUUGCCAGUUACCAGCACGUGAAGGUGGGGACUCUGGCGAGACUGCCCAGAUCAACUGGGAGGAAGGUGGGGACGACGUCAGGUCAGUAUGGCCCUUAUGCCCAGGGCUGCACACGUACUACAAUGCCCAGUACAGAGGGGGCCGAAGCCGCGAGGCGGAGGAAAUCCUAAAAACUGGGCCCAGUUCGGACUGUAGGCUGCAACCCGCCUACACGAAGCCGGAAUCGCUAGUAAUGGCGCAUCAGCUACGGCGCCGUGAAUACGUUCCCGGGUCUUGUACACACCGCCCGUCACAUCAUGGAAGCCGGUCGCACCCGAAGUAUCUGAAGCCAACCGCAAGGAGGCAGGGUCCUAAGGUGAGACUGGUAACUGGGAUGAAGUCGUAACAAGGUAGCCGUAGGGGAACCUGCGGCUG
rnacentral:rRNA from 1 species